rnacentral:rRNA from 1 species
UACGAAGGGCCCAAGCGUUUUUCGGAAUUAUUGGGCGUAAAGCGGGUGUAGGCGGCAUGGCAAGUCAGAAGUGAAAGCCCUCGGCUCAACCGAGGAAGGGCUUUUGAAACUGCCGUGCUUGAGUACUGGAGAGGAUAGUAGAAUUCCUGGUGUAGUGGUGAAAUACGUAGAUAUCAGGAGGAAUACCGGUGGCGAAGGCGGCUAUCUGGCCAGAUACUGACGCUCAGACCCGAAAGCGUGGGGAUCAAACAGG